ACGAACGCUGGCGGCGUGCUUAACACAUGCAAGUCGAACGAAGAGCGAUGGAAGCUUGCUUCUAUCAAUCUUAGUGGCGAACGGGUGAGUAACGCGUAAUCAACCUGCCCUUCAGAGGGGGACAACAGUUGGAAACGACUGCUAAUACCGCAUACGAUCUAAUCUCGGCAUCGAGGAUAGAUGAAAGGUGGCCUCUACAUGUAAGCUAUCACUGACGGAGGGGAUUGCGUCUGAUUAGCUAGUUGGAGGGGUAACGGCCCACCAAGGCGAUGAUCAGUAGCCGGUCUGAGAGGAUGAACGGCCACAUUGGGACUGAGACACGGCCCAGACUCCUACGGGAGGCAGCAGUGGGGAAUCUUCCGCAAUGGACGAAAGUCUGACGGAGCAACGCCGCGUGAGUGAUGACGGCCUUCGGGUUGUAAAGCUCUGUUAAUCGGGACGAAAGGCCUUCUUGCGAAUAGUGAGAAGGAUUGACGGUACCGGAAUAGAAAGCCACGGCUAACUACGUG
rnacentral:rRNA from 1 species